AACGAACGCUGGCGGCAUGCCUAACACAUGCAAGUCGAACGAGACCUUCGGGUCUAGUGGCGCACGGGUGCGUAACGCGUGGGAAUCUGCCCUUCGGUUGGGAAUAACUGAGAGAAAUUUCAGCUAAUACCUUAUAAUGUCUUCGGACCAAAGAUUUAUCGCCGAGGGAUGAGCCCGCGUAGGAUUAGGUAGUUGGUGGGGUAAUGGCCUACCAAGCCGACGAUCCUUAGCUGGUCUGAGAGGAUGAUCAGCCACACUGGGACUGAGACACGGCCCAGACUCCUACGGGAGGCAGCAGUGGGGAAUAUUGGACAAUGGGCGAAAGCCUGAUCCAGCAAUGCCGCGUGAGUGAUGAAGGCCUUAGGGUUGUAAAGCUCUUUUACCCGGGAUGAUAAUGACAGUACCGGGAGAAUAAGCUCCGGUUAACUCCGUG
rnacentral:rRNA from 1 species